rnacentral:rRNA from 1 species
AGUGAACGCUGGCGGUAGGCCUAACACAUGCAAGUCGAACGGCAGCACAGUAAGAGCUUGCUCUUACGGGUGGCGAGUGGCGGACGGGUGAGGAAUACAUCGGAAUCUACUUUUUCGUGGGGGAUAACGUAGGGAAACUUACGCUAAUACCGCAUACGACCUACGGGUGAAAGCAGGGGAUCUUCGGCCCUUGCGCGUUUGAAUGAGCCGAUGUCGGAUUAGCUAGUUGGCGGGGUAAAGGCCCACCAAGGCGACGAUCCGUAGCUGGUCUGAGAGGAUGAUCAGCCACACUGGAACUGAGACACGGUCCAGACUCCUACGGGAGGCAGCAGUGGGGAAUAUUGGACAAUGGGCGCAAGCCUGAUCCAGCCAUACCGCGUGGGUGAAGAAGGCCUUCGGGUUGUAAAGCCCUUUUGUUGGGAAAGAAAAGCAGCAGGUUAAUACCCCGCUGUUCUGACGGUACCCAAAGAAUAAGCACCGGCUAACUUCGUG